rnacentral:lncRNA from 1 species
GCGCACGCCGCACGAUGCUUCCUCUCCCUCUCAUCGCCUCCUCUCAGUCCUGCAGAUCCCUAAUCCCCAAAUGCGAUCAUUGCCGGUAGAACUGCACAGUGAUUCAGCGGCAAGCCGGCGAAUCGAUGGAACUUUGGUUUGAUCUGGUGAUUCUGGCCGGCCGAUAGUUGCGACAUAAUCUCGUGCUAAUCCACCAAGUCCAGGUCGGCUCUUCCAAGGUAUGUCAUCUCCACACGCAUAUGUGUUAGCUUCGGACUAAAUUUCUCACCUUAACUAAUUUGAAACAAUAUUUUCACUUCCUUGAUUCAUCUGGACUAGGAGGUUAUGGACAUAUUUUUGGUGAAACGGCCACUACCAUCUGCAGGAGGGACUUCAAGGCUUAGACGACAAGAUCGUGUAUCAAGCUUCAGCUUUCUGCGGCAAUGAUGAAUCAGAGGACUCCAAAAAUAAGGGGACUUUUUUGAUAGUUGGUACAAAAAUUAGCAAACCAGAAUGAGGAUGUAAGCAAGGUCGUCUUUUAGGAUGCUCCAAAAAAAUUGCAAAUGGGUGCCUCCAGAUAUUCAAAAAGAAAUUGCGAGUUAUUUUGCAAAGAUAACUAACAAGCUUCACUAUUGUGUAUUCAUUUCAUACAAUUUAUCUCUUCAAGUACUCAAAAUGACAUUUUCUCUUGUCUUGCAUAGAUAACUUUAAAUUCUAUUCUUGAAGAAAUUUGUG